CUUGAAAAUUAUAAGUGUGACGAUAGCCAAUGUAGCUGUUGCAAUGUUGGUCUUUGUGGUUUUAAUGUGGUCCCCUUCAAACUGUGAGCUGUAUCAUAAUGAUUACAGCAGAGACUGUUCAAGAAAUUCUAGUGCUGAAUGUUCCAACCAGUUGAACGAGGAAGACAAAGAGACAUUUAAUAAAGCGAGGGGAUAUGAAGCCUAUGGCAACAGUGUAACGUGUCGUAAGGGCUGGUGCUUAACUCAUCAGCAGUGCCAGCAUGUUAGUGGAUAUUACUGGGGACUCUGUACCUUGCCAGACUCAACAAGUG